UGAGAGCAGCUCAUUCAAGCUUCCUGGCUACUCUGUGGACCAAGUACCCUCCUCAGGCCCAUCACAAAAAAGAAAGUGAGGCAGAGCAGGGAAGAACAAAGUCACGAGCCAAAUGCAUGCCUGCCGGGAGCUCAGACCUGAAGAUGCCAAGACAGAGCAGGCACUGAACUUGAUCAGCCUCUACAGGAGCCCCAGGGUGACAGCUAACAGGCUGAGAAGUCCAGAGGAAGGAAGCGUGGCAUCUCGGAGGAGCACGGAGUCCUUCAUCAAAGGGUGUAUGCCAUGCUCGGCAGCCUGCCUGAGCAAGGAAUAGACUCACACACACAGCUUGGAGCCGUUUUGCAGGGAGCAGAGCAACCUUGCGGAACCCUUUAUGGAGCAGCGGCCCAGGACUCCGGAACUGUGAAUUGCACAUAGGAUCUUUCCUGUCCUAUCUGGAGAGUCCCUCCUUGAGGGCCUCAUCUCCUCAGGGGCACGUGUCCUUCCUCAAGCACAAGAGUCUGUCACUACCCACGGCCCCCAGUCUCUGCUUUGACAGCCGCUCCAGGGAAAGGCAGGUAAGGGGAGAUUCUCUACCCCUCCUUUUCCACUAGGGCCCAGGCCACGGUGUCCAAGAGGAUUAAUCAUUGAUGGACUCACAGUUUCAGCAGAGUGCAGCAGCCAGCCUUCUCAAGCCCCACCCAUCCCACUUUCAGGACUCCGGGGUCCGGAGGAGGAGGGGCACCCAGAGCGGGCACUCCAGAGGCAAAGGCAAGUGAAUCUCUGAGUUCCAGGACAGCCUGCAGCUUCAGGUCUACAGAGUGACAGCCAGGGAUAGAGAAACCAUCUCGAAAAAAACCAACACAGACACACACACACAACCAACCAACCAACCAACCAACCAACCAACCAACCAACCAACCAACCAAAUGAAGAGACUAGCAUCACUGGUAAAAUCUUCUGGAAGCGUUUCCUGAAGGCACAGGGAAGUUGUGUCCCAUGGUUGUACCUCACGUUGGUAGCUGGACUGGAAGGCAUGAAGGGGUCAUGGAGGGCAGCUGAGGCUUGGCACUGACAGGCCGCUGGUGAAGGGGCAGCCUCAGCAGCCACUGAAGGCCCAGGACUGAAGGGAUCAUGCAGAGAAGCUGAAGUUUAGCACCAUGAGGAGAGCCUGUGAUAGGUAGGCUAUUGGUGGAAGUACAGCCCAGCUGCAGAGGGACUCCAGCAUUUUGGAGAUGCCAGUGCCAUGGGAUGACUACCCACAGCAGCAGCAGAGGAGUGGAGCCAUCCAGAGCCUAGAAGACAGCUGUGUGUGCCUUAGAGGAUGGAGCUGGAGAAGUCACCCAAGCCCUCUGGAGAAGUCCAGAUGAUUAGGAGUGGAACCCAGACACCGGAUGGUUGGAAUUUGGUUUUGCUUUGAUUUGAUUGUGCUGACUUUUUUCCCCUCUUUAAGUAAGAAAGUAUUUUACUGGAGCCCUCAGUUGAGAGACUUUGAAUUUUAAUAGAUUGGCUAUUUUAAAGGGACUGAAAUUUGAAUUUGUAAGACGGUGGGACUUUUAAAGUUAUUUAUGUUUUCAAUGUGAGAUCUUGGGGAAUAAGAAAGGAAGGGCUGUGGCUUAAUGAUGUCUGUGUCAAGUUGACAGGGGGUCGUUGUACUGCUGGUUUUGUGUCAAAUUGAAACAAGCGAGGAAGGAGCCUCAGUUGGAGAAACGCCUCCGUGAGAUCCAGCUGUCAGGCAUUUUCUCAAUUAAUCAUCAGUGGGGGCCCAGUCCAUUGUGAGUGGAGCCAUCCCUGGGCUGCUGGUCCUCAGUUCUAUAAGGAAGGCUGAGCAAGCCAUGGUGGCGGGCCAGG